AAGCGAAAACAGCUAUUGUUAGUUAUUAUUAGCGAGAACAGCUAUUAUUAAUAAUUACUAACUAAAAUUAAAACUAAAUUGUGAUUGUCGGUGAUUCUUAUAGCUGUGUUGUAAGGGACAAGUUCCUGCGGGAUGCAGUUGUAGUAUAGCGAUCCAAUAGAUCAAUCACCCAUAUAGAGAGUGAAUAGCUUUCUCGAGGUACUUUGCCCGAGUAAAGUUGAGCGGUGGCUUUGCCAACAGCCAAGAUUUGCCACAUUCUUUGCUAUUAAGGUUGAUUAAAACCACUUGCAUUAUGUUUAACGUGAAAAUCAAGAGAAAUUCACGAUGUCAGCAACAAACAACACCCUCACAUCCGGCAAUAUAACUACGUGGAAGCACUAAAUAGAUUACCGAUAUCGAAUAUUGUAAUCAUGUAAUCAAAUAAUGAUUCCAUUGCCGAUUAACAAGUCCAACUAUGUACAACCUUCUUCUUUUACAAAGCCUAGCUGAGAUGUUGGCGGUAGAUAAGGGUUGGCCAUGUGGAACGUAGCGCGUCUUAUUGCUUGGUUUUCGUUUUUAUAUAAUAAAGGAUUAAUAAUUGAGAAAAUUAACAUGCAUCUCCUCAGGUGCAAAAACCUCGUAUCAGAAGUAACUUUUUGAACCGUAAAAUAAAGAUAUGAAUUGAGAUGCAACAACCUGAUUGAAGUUUAUUUAAAAAUUGUCCCAAAAUGCGUUUGUAAGUACGUAGUUAACAAUGUUUAUCCGUUAUGGCAACAAUAAAAACAUCCGCGUCUGCACCAUACCUAUGAAAAUAUUUACUACUAUGGGUAUUGCUCAUUUAUUUGUUCUGAAAAUUCGGAUCAAUAUUAUUAU